GACGAACGCUGGCGGCGUGCCUAAUACAUGCAAGUCGAGCGGACGAAUCGAAAGCUUGCUUUUGAUUCGUUAGCGGCGGACGGGUGAGUAACACGUGGGCAACCUGCCCUGUAGACGGGGAUAACACCGAGAAAUCGGUGCUAAUACCGGAUAACACGAAAUGUCGCAUGACGUUUCGUUGAAAGACGGCGCACGCUGCCGCUACAGGAUGGGCCCGCGGCGCAUGAGCUAGUUGGUGAGGUAACGGCUCACCAAGGCGACGAUACGUAGCCGACCUGAGAGGGUGAUCGGCCACACUGGAACUGAGACACGGCCCAGACUCCUACGGGAGGCAGCAGUAGGGAAUCUUCCGCAAUGGACGAAAGUCUGACGGAGCAACGCCGCGUGAGCGAAGAAGGCCUUCGGGUCGUAAAGCUCUGUUGUUAGGGAAGAACAAGUAACGCAGUAACUGGCGUUACCGUGACGGUACCUAACGAGAAAGCCACGGCUAACUACGUG
rnacentral:rRNA from 1 species